GACCUAGUGGUGAAUGGAUUACAUCUGCUCUCCAUCAUGCUUCUUCUAACGUACAGCAGGAGCCCCCGGUUCGACUCCGGGCUAGGUCA